rnacentral:rRNA from 1 species
GACGAACGCUGGCGGCGUGCCUAAUACAUGCAAGUCGAGCGAAUGGAAGGGAGCUUGCUCCCUGAAGUUAGCGGCGGACGGGUGAGUAACACGUGGGCAACCUGCCUGUAAGACUGGGAUAACCUCGGGAAACCGGAGCUAAUACCGGAUACGUUCUUUCCUCGCAUGAGGAAAGAUGGAAAGAUGGUUUCGGCUAUCACUUACAGAUGGGCCCGCGGCGCAUUAGCUAGUUGGUGGGGUAAUGGCCCACCAAGGCGACGAUGCGUAGCCGACCUGAGAGGGUGAUCGGCCACACUGGGACUGAGACACGGCCCAGACUCCUACGGGAGGCAGCAGUAGGGAAUCUUCCGCAAUGGACGAAAGUCUGACGGAGCAACGCCGCGUGAGCGAAGAAGGCCUUCGGGUCGUAAAGCUCUGUUGUCAGGGAAGAACAAGUGCCAGAGUAACUGCUGGCACCUUGACGGUACCUGACCAGAAAGCCACGGCUAACUACGUGCCAGCCGCCGCAGUAAUAC